AACACGAUCAACUCUAGUUAAGAGUUGGGAAUGACCUUACAUUGUAAAGUGUUUGGUUUGAAUAAAUAGGUUGAUGAGUUCCCCAACGCGGCUCAAUGUGUGCUAGCGAGACAGUCGUCCCGAUCUCACAUUUCGGCUGCGUUGCAGAGUUCUAUCCAACAACCUCUUACCUAUCAA
rnacentral:misc_RNA from 1 species